UGGGGAAUAUUGCACAAUGGGGGAAACCCUGAUGCAGCGACGCCGCGUGAGCGAAGAAGGUUUUCGAAUCGUAAAGCUCUGUCCUAGGAGAAGAUAAUGACGGUAUCAUAGGAGGAAGCCCCGGCUAAAUACGUGCCAGCAGCCGCGGUAAUACGUAUGGGGCGAGCGUUGUCCGGAAUUAUUGGGCGUAAAGGGUACGUAGGCGGUCUAUUGAGUCAGGUGUGAAAGCGUGAGGCUUAACCUCAUUAAGCACUUGAAACUGAUAGAGUUGAGUGGAGGAGAGGAAAGUGGAAUUCCUAGUGUAGCGGUGAACUGCGUAGAUAUUAGGAGGAAUACCGGUGGCGAAGGCGACUUUCUGGACUUGUACUGACGCUCAGGUACGAAAGCGUGGGGAGCAAACAGG
rnacentral:rRNA from 1 species